rnacentral:rRNA from 1 species
UUUGAAGUGAAAAAAUGUAACAAGGUCUCCGUUGGUGAACCAGCGGAGGGAUCAUUACCGAGUUUACAACUCCCAAACCCAAUGUGAACGUUACCAAACUGUUGCCUCGGCGGGAUCUCUGCCCCGGGUGCGUCGCAGCCCCGGACCAAGGCGCCCGCCGGAGGACCAACCAAAACUCUUAUUGUAUACCCCCUCGCGGGUUUUUUACUAUCUGAGCCAUCUCGGCGCCCCUCGUGGGCGUUUCGAAAAUGAAUCAAAACUUUCAACAACGGAUCUCUUGGUUCUGGCAUCGAUGAAGAACGCAGCGAAAUGCGAUAAGUAAUGUGAAUUGCAGAAUUCAGUGAAUCAUCGAAUCUUUGAACGCACAUUGCGCCCGCCAGUAUUCUGGCGGGCAUGCCUGUCCGAGCGUCAUUUCAACCCUCGAACCCCUCCGGGGGGUCGGCGUUGGGGAUCGGCCCUUUACGGGGCCGGCCCCGAAAUACAGUGGCGGUCUCGCCGCAGCCUCUCCUGCGCAGUAGUUUGCACACUCGCAUCGGGAGCGCGGCGCGUCCACAGCCGUUAAACACCCCAAACUUCUGAAAUGUUGACCUCGGAUCAGGUAGAAACCCCAA